rnacentral:rRNA from 1 species
UACGAAGGGUGCAAACGUUGUCGUGAAUUAUUGGGCGUAAAGCGCACGUAGGCGGUAUUGCAAGUCCCAUGUGAAAUCCCACGGCUUAACCGUGGAAGUGCAUGGGAAACUGCAGUACUUGAGUACUUAAGAGGAUCGCGGAAUUCCCGGUGUAGAGGUGAAAUUCGUAGAUAUCGGGAGGAACACCAGUGGCGAAGGCGGCGAUCUGGGAAGAUACUGACGCUGAGGUGCGAAAGCGUGGGGAGCAAACAGG